ACGCAGACAGUUAUCCCUCUCUGGGCUGUGACGUGCUCUCUGAGGGAGUCAGUCUGCAAAAACAACCUUCAGGCCUGAGCCUCUUUGCCCUGUCACUGACAGAGUUUCAGCUCACCUGAAGACAAACU
rnacentral:snoRNA from 1 species